rnacentral:rRNA from 1 species
CCCUUAGAUGUUCUGGGCUGCACGCGCGCUACACUGAUGCGCUCAACGAGUUUUAACCUUGCCUGGAAAGGUUGGGUAAUCUUUUUAAAACGCAUCGUGAUGGGGAUAGAUUAUUGCAAUUAUUAAUCUUCAACGAGGAAUUCCUAGUAAGCGCGAGUCAUCAGCUCGUGCUGAUUACGUCCCUGCCCUUUGUACACACCGCCCGUCGCUGCCCGGAACUGAGCCAUUUCGAGAAAAAUGGGGACAGACUGCUUGUGGGUGCGCAAGCACUUCUUGCAGAUUGAAACCAUCUUGAUCGGUAUGGCUUGAACCGGGCAAAAGUCGUAACA